ensembl:ncRNA ZC64.17 ncRNA
UGCAAAUUUGGCGUUUUUUAAUACUCUAAUGUGUUAUUCAAAGCUUAUCAGUCAAAUUUUCUUUAUGAUCUCAUACAGUUCGGCAACAUCGAAGUUUAAAUUUCAAAUUAGGACGCGAUAGAUUUUACCCUAGUUUCGUUCCUAGAUAUUAGAAUAACUUAGAUAAUAGAAG